rnacentral:rRNA from 1 species
GAUGAACGCUGGCGGCGUGCCUAAUACAUGCAAGUCGAGCGAACAGACGAGGAGCUUGCCCCUCUAACGUUAGCGGCGGACGGGUGAGUAACACGUGGAUAACCUACCUAUAAGACUGGGAUAACUUCGGGAAACCGGAGCUAAUACCGGAUAAUAUAUUGAACCGCAUGGUUCAAUAGUGAAAGACGGUUUUGCUGUCACUUAUAGAUGGAUCCGCGCCGCAUUAGCUAGUUGGUAAGGUAACAGCUUACCAAGGCAACGAUGCGUAGCCGACCUGAGAGGGUGAUCGGCCACACUGGAACUGAGACACGGUCCAGACUCCUACGGGAGGCAGCAGUAGGGAAUCUUCCGCAAUGGGCGAAAGCCUGACGGAGCAACGCCGCGUGAGUGAUGAAGGUCUUCGGAUCGUAAAACUCUGUUAUUAGGGAAGAACAAAUGUGUAAGUAACUAUGCACGUCUUGACGGUACCUAAUCAGAAAGCCACGGCUAACUACGUG